rnacentral:rRNA from 1 species
CGAAUGCUGACAUAAGUAACGAUAAAGCGGGUGAAAAGCCCGCUCGCCGGAAGACCAAGGGUUCCUGUCCAACGUUAAUCGGGGCAGGGUGAGUCGACCCCUAAGGCGAGGCCGAAAGGCGUAGUCGAUGGGAAACAGGUUAAUAUUCCUGUACUUGGUGUUACUGCGAAGGGGGGACGGAGAAGGCUAUGUUGGCCGGGCGACGGUUGUCCCGGUUUAAGCGUGUAGGCUGGUUUUCCAGGCAAAUCCGGAAAAUCAAGGCUGAGGCGUGAUGACGAGGCACUACGGUGCUGAAGCAACAAAUGCCCUGCUUCCAGGAAAAGCCUCUAAGCAUCAGGUAACAUCAAAUCGUACCCCAAACCGACACAGGUGGUCAGGUAGAGAAUACCAAGGCGCUUGAGAGAACUCGGGUGAAGGAACUAGGCAAAAUGGUGCCGUAACUUCGGGAGAAGGCACGCUGAUAUGUAGGUGAAGCGACUUGCUCGUGGAGCUGAAAUCAGUCGAAGAUACCAGCUGGCUGCAACUGUUUAUUAAAAACACAGCACUGUGCAAACACGAAAGUGGACGUAUACGGUGUGACGCCUGCCCGGUGCCGGAA